rnacentral:rRNA from 1 species
GAUGAACGCUGGCGGCGUGCCUAAUACAUGCAAGUCGAGCGAAUGGAUUAAGAGCUUGCUCUUAUGAAGUUAGCGGCGGACGGGCGAGUAACACGUGGGUAACCUGCCCAUAAGACUGGGAUAACUCCGGGAAACCGGGGCUAAUACCGGAUAACAUUUUGAACCGCAUGGUUCGAAAUUGAAAGGCGGCUUCGGCUGUCACUUAUCGAUGGACCCGCGUCGCAUUAGCUAGUUGGUGAGGUAACGGCUCACCAAGGCAACGAUGCGUAGCCAGCAGGAGAGGGGGAUCGGCAACACGGGGAGUGGGACACUGCCCAGAAGCCUACGGGAGGCAGGAGGAGGGAAUCUUCCGCAAUGGACGGAAGUCUGACGGAGCAACGCCGCGUGAGUGAUGAAGGCUUUCGGGUCGUAAAACUCCGUUGUUAGGGAAGAACAAGUGCUAGUUGAAUAAGCUGGCACCUUGACGGUACCUAACCAGAAAGCCACGGCUAACUACGUGCCAGCCGCCGCGGUAA